rnacentral:rRNA from 1 species
UACGUAGGGAGCAAGCGUUGUCCGGAAUCAUUGGGCGUAAAGCGCGCGUAGGUGGCCAUGUAAGUCCGCUGUGAAAGUCAAAGGCUCAACCUUUGAAAGCCGGUGGAUACUGCAUGGCUAGAGUACGGAAGAGGCGAGUGGAAUUCCUGGUGUAGCGGUGGAAUGCGCAGAUAUCAGGAGGAACACCAAUAGCGAAGGCAGCUCGCUGGGACGUUACUGACACUGAGGCGCGAAAAGCGUGGGGGAGCAAACAGG